UACGGGGGGGGCAAGCGUUGUUCGGAAUUACUGGGCGUAAAGGGCGCGUAGGCGGCCUGCUAAGUCACACGUGAAAUCCCUCGGCUCAACCGGGGAACUGCGUGUGAUACUGGCGGGCUUGAAUUCGGGAGAGGGGAUGUGGAAUUCCAGGUGUAGCGGUGAAAUGCGCAGAUAUCAGGAGGAACACCGGUGGCGAAGGCGGGUCUCUGGGCCGAUACUGACGCUGAGGAGCGAAAGCGUGGGGAGCGAACAGG
rnacentral:rRNA from 1 species